rnacentral:lncRNA from 1 species
AAUGUGGACUGAUAGAGGUUUUGGGUUUGAGACAAAAGUGACAACGGGCCUCGGCCCAAGCCCAAUAGACCUUGUGGUGGGGCAGAGGUGCCUGUGGUUUUUGAAACACAACCGAAUGUGUAGCUAGGAACGGGGUCAGUGGCUAAGGUAAUAGUGUCUUGUACCAAGUUAGCUGCAAUAGAGGAACUGCCAUAGGUUAGGUUGAAAUUGCAUGAGCUCACACCACAACCAGGGUUAGGUACCUGAAAAAUGAAACAAAAUAAAAUGUUUACAUUAAUACCAAUGUUUCAAAAAUGAGAUAGGAGAAUGAAUUAAUAAGACUGAUCAUGGUUCAAUCCAUUCAACUGUUAUUAGACCAGAAUAAACCAACCAAUGUAUUAAUCGAUUUUUGAAUUUUUCGUCAUCUACAAUUCAACCGACUCAACCUAGUUCAAUCUAAUUCAACUAGAAUUCAAUUCAAUCUAUUCAACUCAGUUCAAUCUAAUUUAACUAGUAGAAUUUAAAACAGUCGAGAAUAAACCAACUGAUAAAUCGGUCAAUUUUUAUUGACCGAUAAAUACGACUGUUUCAAUCCAAUUUUUAAACCAUGAUUACUUCAUUGGAAAAAGUGCAUUUAGAUUUUAGAAGACUCCAAGUCUCGUGAACCUUUGCCUGCCAUAGAGAGCACAUAGCUUUCAAUAUUUUGGAUUCAUAGAUUGGGCUAGGAUAUAAGUCAACCCCACCUACAAUGGGACAAAAGUUGCACGUUUCAAUGGAGUAGCACUUGGGUGCCAUAGUUUUUUGGUGCCAUUGGUGCCAUAGGUAACUUUGUGUCUAUCUCUCUCUUAACAACUCAUUCUCUCUCAUCUAAAUAAUUUAUUUUAAUCAUUCUCUUUCAUCUAAAAUGAACCUAUGUCACCAAUGGCACCAAAAAACUAUGGCACCCAAGUAUUUCCCGUUUCAAUGUGAUCAAAUAAUCUCUCCUUGUAGUCCCUUUCAUUGUGAAACUAGUAAUUACCCUUCAACGGCAAGUAAAGGUAAAAGAUUCGUGCCAAGCUGUAUGUCAUGUGAACUUUUGUCCAAGUAAAGAUAAUUUAAGUACUUUGUCUAAGAUAAUUUAAGCUCUAUCACAAACCUAUUUUUUUUUGUUACAACGAUGUAUAAUACUUUUUCCGAUCACAUUUAUAAAUAUUUUUGUUUUUUUGAGAUUCAUUAAAUAACUGAUGUAUUUUUUUUUUUGAAACAUAAUAACUGAUGUAUCUGAACCUUUCAAAAAAACCUGAUGUAUCUAAAGUAUAUUAUAAUCCAAACACAUCAGUUAUUUAAUAAUAAUAAAAUUGCUUAUAAAUGCGACCAGAAAGAUAAUUCUUUAUCUUUUAGUCGAUCAAUUUAGUUUUACAAUUGUCACGUAACAAAGUGACCAAGUAUUUUAAUAAUUUUUAGGGAUCAUUUAAAAUUUCCAUUAAUUUGAAGAGUUUAAUUGGCUCACUUCUACACUAAAUAUCAUGUAGUGAUUCAAUAAUUUUAUUGGCAUCCUCAAAACAAAUCUUUCACCAGUUCAAACAAAUUUUUAUGUACACUUCACUAGAGUACAAAAACAUUCACAGUAGUGAUGUGUACAUUGUGGCAUUUGAGGUCACGUGAUUCUUUUAAAUUUUAAAAUAGAAAUAUGACAAUCGACAAAAUAAGGAGUAUCUUUGGAUACUGAUUACAAAAUAAAAAUAUAGUAUCUUAUGUUAUGAUGCUGAUUACGAAAUAAAAAACUGUAAAGUAUUCAAAUCACAUCUUUUUUUAAAGUAUCAUCAUAUAUUAAACAGAUUACCUUUUUCAACAAAUAUUUCACAAUUGUUGUGAUUUUAAUAAUGCAUAAUCCACUAGCUAGUUAACAAAACAUGAAAACCAUGAAUAGAUUUUGCAUAUAAUCAAAAAUCAAAAUAUUUCAAUUUUUAAUGAAGGUACUAGCAAAUUAUUAGAAUAAAUACCUUGGAGUAAAAAUAACUCAUUGCACCGAAAAAAAUGUUUAUGAAGAAAAAGGCAUAGAAUCAAAAUAAAAAAUAGGUGUGAGAGCUUGGAAAUUGAAAUCAACUCAGAUUUUUAAAUUAGGGUUUGCAAACAAUUAUAGCAACAUUAUAAAGUUUUAGAUGUCUUAGCAACAUCGUGACCAUAAUUGCAAUUGCAUCAUUUGUAUCGUGUCACCAUAUCAAAGUCACGACCACAACCACAAUUUAAAACCAUAAUUUUCUUUCAAUGUUUAGAUUCGCGGUGAUGAGAUUACCAGAAUUAAGAUGAACCUUCGUAAUUUUUUAACAAAAACUACAUUUUAAAGUUUCACGAAAUCAUAGUACUAUCAUAAUUUUAUCAAAUGCAAGCCAAUAUAAAAAUAUACCUAGUCACGAAAACCAUGACAAAAAAAUGUGUCUUUGUUAGUGAAGUAAAUACCUGUUUGCAUUCAGGAGCAGCACAACUAACAUUCUUAAAUGUAGUUGAUUUUUCAGGAGCAAACAAAGUUGAAGCACAACCAUCACAAGCAGUGCAAGGAAUCCAAGCAGCAUCAUUACUAGUAUCCAUAGCCAAAAGCAAAGUUUGAGGUGGAGUACCAAUUUUAGCCCUUACAAUGUAAGUUGGACUCUGUAUGAUCUGUCUACCAGAAGCAAUAGGUACAACUGAUUUUCUAGCUACCAAACUAUCAAGGAAUUGAAGUCUAGUUGUGUCUUUGGCUUGCAUUUGGAGGACACUUUCUUCCCAUGAAAGUGGCUUGAUGGCCUAAAUGGGGAACAUGGGCUGAACACAUGGAUUACUUGGAGUGUUGAACCAUUGUCUUGGACAUCACAUUUGGGGUUUAGUCCUUGGACUAGGGAGAGGGAUAGGAACAAGAGGGAAAGUGUGAGUUUCAUGGUUGUUUUGUUAUGGAGUGGUUUUGGUUCAUUCACUUGACUUAGUUAGUACUAUAUAUAGUAAAAGAAAGGGCAGAGACCCAAAUUGGUCUUUUGAAAUAAAGUGAACUGAUAUUCCCUUCC